rnacentral:rRNA from 1 species
UACGAAGGGAGCUAGCGUUGUUCGGAAUCACUGGGCGUAAAGCGCACGUAGGCGGAUUUGUCAGUCAGGGGUGAAAUCCCGGGGCUCAACCUCGGAACUGCCUUUGAUACAGCAAGUCUUGAGUUCGAGAGAGGUGGGUGGAAUUCCUAGUGUAGAGGUGAAAUUCGUAGAUAUUAGGAAGAACACCGGUGGCGAAGGCGGCGAACUGGCAAGAUACUGACGCUGAGGUGCGAAAGCGUGGGGAGCAAACAGG